AAUGAACGUUGGCGGCAUGGAUUAGGCAUGCAAGUCGGGGGAAUCCCAGCAAUGGGGGAACCGGCGUAAGGGGCAGUAAGGCAUGGGUACCUACCUUGGGGUUCGGGAUAGCCAUCAGAGAUGGUGGGUAAUACCGGAUGACGUCGUGAGACCAAAGAUUCAUCGCCCUUAGAGGGGCCCAUGUGAUAUUAGCUAGUUGGUGGGGUAACGGCCAACCAAGGCGAAGAUGUCUAGCGGGUGUGAGAGCACGACCCGCGCCACUCGCACUGAGACACUGGCGAGACACCUACGGGUGGCUGAAGUCGAGGAUCUUCGGCAAUGAGCGCAAGCUUGACCGAGCGAUGCCGCGUGAGCGAUGAAGGCCUUCGGGUUGUAAAGCCCUUUAGUGGGGGAGAAAAGCCGCAAGGCGUGAUCUAUCCCAAAAAUAAGCACGGGCUAAGUUCGUGCCAGCAGCCGCCGCCG
rnacentral:rRNA from 1 species